rnacentral:rRNA from 1 species
CAGCAGCCGCCGCGGUAAUACGAAGGGGGCUAGCGUUGCUCGGAAUGACUGGGCGUAAAGGGCGCGUAGGCGGAUUGUUUAGUUAGGCGUGAAAUUCCUGGGCUUAACCUGGGGACUGCGUUUGAUACUUGGUUGCUUGAGUGGGGAAGAGGGUCGUGGAAUUCCCAGUGUAGAGGUGAAAUUCGUAGAUAUUGGGAAGAACACCGGUGGCGAAGGCGGCGACCUGGUCCUUUACUGACGCUGAGGCGCGAAAGCGUGGGGAGCAAACAGGAUUAGAUACCCCCGUAGUCCCUGUCUCUUAUAC